AAGUAACUAAUAAAAAUAACUCAGACAGAACAAUCGGAGAGAAAGAGUCUAACCAAAUACCAGCAUUAUUGAAAGCAGCCAAAGAUAACGAUAUGUCUUUGGGAUGGUUAGGAUGAGAAGAGUGGCAGGAGACAAGCUGAGGAGCAUCGACGUAUCAAAUAAGAUGAGAUCUUUAGACAAGUAGUGCACGUGCACCAGGAGACUGUGGAUUUGUAUUUGGAGGAUAUCAUCCUGGGAACAACUGACCACACAGGCGACCAACAGGCCAGAGAGGAAAUCCACAGGAUGGCAAGAGAGG